UACGUAGGGUGCGAGCGUUAAUCGGAAUUACUGGGCGUAAAGCGUGCGCAGGCGGUGAGCUGUGUCCGAUGUGAAAGCCCCGGGCUUAACCUGGGAAUGGCAUUGGAAACUGGCUCGCUGGAGUGUGGCAGAGGGGGGUGGAAUUCCGCGUGUAGCAGUGAAAUGCGUAGAGAUGCGGAGGAACACCGAUGGCGAAGGCAGCCCCCUGGGCUAACACUGACGCUCAGGCACGAAAGCGUGGGGAGCAAAAGGG
rnacentral:rRNA from 1 species